AUAAAAGGAGCUGCUUGGUGGGAGUGAGACAAUUCCUGGCUGGAGCUAGAGGAGUGAAUAGAGAUGCGCCCUAGCUUAUAGCCAAAGGACCCAGUCUGGGCCAGGGCUCACCGCUGUACCCAGUCAGCGGUAACAGUUCAGAAGGAUCCCUACUAAUUCAGUUUCAGAAAGGGCAUUUAGCCCUAGAAGGGCAGGAAACCGUUUUGUUUAUAAUUGGCCCUGAAGGGCAAGGAACUUCUUCUGUUUAAGUUUGUUUUAUCCCAGAAGGGUUUGGAUUGUGUGAUCCUAGCGGGGGGCUGACCCAGUAAAGACCUGCGAAGGCAGGCUGGGAGCUGAAGAGACUGGUGCACUGUGCUUGGUCUCUGGGGGUGCUCCAGGAGGUGAGUGCAAUCCACCACAAUGGGAAAUGAAAUUUUGCGUUUUAAACCAAGUGCCUACAGAAGUGCAAGGCCAGCAUAUGAUUGCACGGGGACAAUGGCAUUGAAACUACAAUUCUGACCUGGAUAUUCUUUUGAACAAUAUCCUGAAAAGAGAAGGUGGAAAUGAAGGUGUUAAAAAUGUUUAAAUCAGUUACAAGAGAAAAGCAAUUCAAUUGAACUGCCAGAAACAAUUUGCUAUCCAUGAUGACAAUGGAGGCACCGGAUCCAUUGGUCCUGAAUACUGGAAUGUCCCAGACUCCCAGAACGAACUGAAAAUUACAACUCCCCAGAAGAUAUUUUCACCCUUCCUUAUCCUCAGUCUCCUCUUGGGUCUGACCUUCUGAGAGUUAUUGUGACACCAGAGGAGGAAACUACCUCAAGGAGAUGGGAAUGUUCCACUCCUCAGUCCAUAGGCAGGAGCCUUUACCCACCAGAAUUAAUUGCUCCACUGGUCAAGGGGAACUAGCCUUCUCCUUGGAGGAGUUAGAGGCUCCAGACAUUGCUUCACCCCCAGGCAGGUAGGUGAGUUGGGACAGCAACUCGAAUAUCCAGGGUCCAUUCUCCACCUAGAUAUGACUACCUAAGGGACCCUCACCAGUUUGACCAUUUAUAUUGGCCCUAUUGGGGUCCAUGGGAUCCAUACACAUGAUAUCCUGGUUCCAUCCAUAAGCCCCACUGUACCUCUCCCAUGUGAUACUUACCAGCUCCAUCAGAGUAUGAGGGAGAAAUGACCAAACCAGAUUGCAGGUAUCUAUGAAUGUUUCUUCUGCUUACCAGGUAAGGCAAUUUACCCAUCUUUGUCAUCGCAACCACAGGCUAUAUCAGGAGCUACUGCAGAGAGCAUCAAAUUACCUCCAGAUUCUACUACAGAAUGUCCAGGAUACCCUCCAUCAACUCUUUGACAUGAUACAACCUUCUGGUCCCAGUAAAGUGGCCCUCCCAAUAAACGAGGCCAUCAUGGAACCAGCUAGUGUGGUCUGUCACACUCUGGCCUCCUGAACCCCUACACUGAAAAGGGCUGAGGGGUACUAUUUUGUACCAGUCAAAGGAGUGGAGUGCCUCUUCCCAACCCAGCUCCCUGAUGGUGCAAGCAGCCACUGAGGGUCCAACAUGUACAACACGUGUGGAUGGCCCAUGUCAGCUGACCUGGGCUUGUGUGGGCUUGGGUUGUGGGCGGCCCACCUCCCCACCCAGCACUGCUGCAGAUAGGCAGUAGCAGAAAUAGCUAGUGGAAUCUGGAGGGAGGCUGCCCAGCAUUGUGAGUGGGAGGGAGAUAAUCCAGUAGUGAGCGAGGCAGUGUCCAGCACCAGAAAAGAAGGGAUGCAUCAGUGGGGAGCCAGUGGACAGGGACCCCAGUAGCUGAGUUGCAUCAUCAGAGGGAUGCCAGGAACAGACCUGAAGAGAGAAAGUCCAGUUCAGGAGGGAUGGGAAAGAUAGAGAUAGUAGGAACAGUAGGGAUAGUCAAGGGACACAAAAGAGGAAAGAGAGUGGUCUACGGAGAAAAGGUAAAGAAAGAUAAGUACAGUUAAACAAGAGGAAAAAUAAAGAGUCAAAUCUAAAAACUAUUAGAAAAACAUUGUUGGAAAACUGUCAGAAGUAAAGCAAGAAUGAAAUGUAAAAGAAAUAAGCUGUAAUAAAAGAUAAACUGUAAUUAAAGAGAAACAGACUUAAGAAAUAAGGAGGAAGUGAGCUGUAGUGAAAGUGAGAAAAUAGUAAGGACUGUAAAACAAAACAUCCAGAUAGUAUUUUAAGGUAUACAAGGUGAAGUGACAGGAAUAGAGAAAUUAUCAGAGAACAAAGGCACUGUAAGCCAGCAAGGAGUGGAGGGAUAAUUGUUCAAUCAAGAAACCAACACAUCACAUCAAGGAGUACAUGUCUUUUUAUUUAAGCUGGAACUCAAAACUGUAAACAAAGAUUGCUCAAGAUAUAAUUAAACAUCCUAAGAACUUUUCCUCCAAACUCUAGGCUUACAAGGGAACACACAAUGGUGAGGUUCAUAUUUUAGUGCAUCGUAUUAGGUAAUUCCAAAUUCUGUUUCAUAAAUAUAAAUUGUUACCUAUAAUGUGAAUUUAAUUUUUAGUUAAAAAUAGUAGUUAAAAUACAAUAAAUGAAAGUAAUAGUUU